AUCUCGGUUCUAUUUUGUUGGUUUUCUGAUCUGAGAUAAUGGUUAAGAGGGACGGACGGGGGCAUUCGUAUCGCUGCGUGAGAGGUGAAAUUCUUGGACCGUAGCGAGACGCCCGACUGCGAAAGCAUUUGCCAAGAAUGUCUUCAUUAAUCAAGAACGAAAGUCAGAGGUUCGAAGGCGAUCAGAUACCGCCCUAGUUCUGACCGUAAACGAUACCAACUAGCGUUCCGUCGGUGGUAAAUACGCCUUGACGGGCAGCUUCCCGGAAACGAAAGUUUUUCGGUUCCGGGGGAAGUAUGGUUGCAAAGCUGAAACUUAAAGAAAUUGACGGAAGGGCACCACCAGGAGUGGAGCCUGCGGCUUAAUUUGACUCAACACGGGAAAACUCACCUGGCCCGGACACCGUGAGGAUUGACAGAUUGAGAGCUCUUUCUUGAUUCGGUGGUUGGUGGUGCAUGGCCGUUCUUAGUUGGUGGAGUGAUUUGUCUGGUUUAUUCCGAUAACGAGCGAGACUCUAGCCUACUAAAUAGUCACUGGAUAAAUGCGUCCAGAAGACUUCUUAGAGGGACAAGCGGUGCUUAGCCGCAUGAAGUUGAGCAAUAA
rnacentral:rRNA from 1 species